rnacentral:rRNA from 1 species
GCCUAAAGCGUCCGUAGCCGGCUAUGUUAGUUUUCGGUUAAAUCCAUGUGCUCAACGCAUGGGCUGUCGAGAAUACUGCAUAGCUAGGGAGUGGGAGAGGUAGACGGUACUCGGUAGGAAGGGGUAAAAUCCUUUGAUCUAUCGAUGACCGCCAGUGGCGAAGGCGGUCUACCAGAACACGUCCGACGGUGAGGGAUGAAAGCUGGGAGAGCAAACCGGAUUAGAUACCCGGGUAGUCCCAGCUGUAAACUAUGCAAACUCAGUGAUGCAUUGGCUUGUGGCCAGUGCAGUGCCGCAGAGAAGUCGUUAAGUUUGCCGCCUGGGAAGUACGUACGCAAGUAUGAAACUUAAAGGAAUUGGCGGGGGAGCACCACAAGGGGUGAAGCCUGCGGUUCAAUUGGAGUCAACGCCAGAAAUCUUACCCGGAGAGACAGCAGAAUGAAGGUCAAGCUGAAGACUUUACCAGACAAGCUGAGAAGUGGUGCAUGGCCGUCGCCAGCUCGUGCCGUGAGGCGUCCUGUUAAGUCAGGUAACGAGCGAGAUCCCUACCUCUAGUUGCCACCAUUACUCUCAGGAGUAGUGGGGCGAAUUAGCGGGACUGCCGCAGUUAAUGCGGAGGAAGGAGGGGGCCACGGCAGGUCAGUAUGCCCCGAA